UGGCUCCAUAUCCUUGCCAGCAUUUGGUGUUAUCAGUUGUCUGGAUUUUGGCCAUUCUAAUAGAAUCUGAGAAGAGUUCUUUAAACUUGAUUAAUU
rnacentral:lncRNA from 1 species